CAGUAGUCACGAGUUUGAUCAUGGCUCAGAUUGAACGCUGGCGGCAUGCCUAACACAUGCAAGUCGAACGAGACCUUCGGGUCUAGUGGCGCACGGGUGCGUAACACGUGGGAAUUUGCCUCGGGGUAUGGAAUAACUCAGGGAAACUUGAGCUAAUACCAUAUAAUGUCUUCGGACCAAAGAUUUAUCGCCCUGAGAUAAGCCCGCGUAGGAUUAGCUAGUUGGUGAGGUAAAGGCUCACCAAGGCGACGAUCCUUAGCUGGUCUGAGAGGAUGAUCAGCCACACUGGGACUGAGACACGGUCCAGACUCCUACGGGAGGCAGCAGUGGGGGAAUUUUCCGCAAUGGGCGAAAGCCUGACGGAGCAAUACCGCGUGAGGGAAGAAUGCCUAUGGGUUGUAAACCUCUUUUUUCAGGGAGGAAUAAAAUGACGUGUACCUGAAGAAUAAGCAUCGGCUAACUCCGUG
rnacentral:rRNA from 1 species